UACGUAGGGUGCGAGCGUUACUCGGAAUUACUGGGCGUAAAGCGUGCGCAGGCGGUUUUGUAAGCCAGAUGUGAAAUCCCCGGGCUUAACCUGGGAAUGGCAUUUGGGACUGCAAGGCUGGAGUGCGGCAGAGGAGACUGGAAUUCCUGGUGUAGCAGUGAAAUGCGUAGAUAUCAGGAGGAACACCGAUGGCGAAGGCAGGUCUCUGGGCUGACACUGACGCUCAUGCAUGAAAGCGUGGGGAGCAAACAGG
rnacentral:rRNA from 1 species